rnacentral:rRNA from 1 species
AGCCCAAUACUUAAGAGCAUACAAUGAAUGCCUUGGCACUUGUAGGCGAUGAAGGACGUGGUAAACUGCGAUAAGCUUCGGGGAGCGGUUAAACACGCGUUGAUCCGGAGAUCUCCGAAUGGGAUAACCCAACGAGCUAACCCCUCGUUACCUAAGACUGAAUCCAUAAUGUCUUAGGGGCUACACCUGCUGAAGUGAAACAUCUCAGUAAGCAGAGGAAAAGAAAGCGAAUGCGAUUCCGUCAGUAGUGGCGAGCGAACGCGGAACAGCCCAAACCCAUUGGCUUGCCAAUGGGGGUUAUAGGACCACAACAUGGCAUCUUGACGAUUAGGCGAAGCAAAUGGAAAGUUGCCCCAUAGAAGGUGAUAGGCCUGUAGCCGAAAAUCCGAGAGAGCCUAGUGGCACCUGAGUAACGCGAUGCACGUGAAACUUCGCGUGAAUUUGCGCCGACCACGGCGUAAGGCUAAAUACUCACAAGUGACCGAUAGUGCACUAGUACCGUGAGGGAAAGGUGAAAAGAACCGCUACAAGCGGAGUGAAAUAGAACCUGCAAUUGUAUGCUCACAAGGUGUCAGAGCCCGAAAGGGUGAUGGCGUGCCUUUUGCUUAAUGAGUCUGCGAGUUACUAUCAGUAGCCAGUCAAAGCUCCACAGGAGCCGAGGCGAAGCGAAAGCGAGUCCCAAAAGGGCGCAUAGCUGCUGGUAGUAGACCCGAAGGGGAGGUGAUCUACUCUUGGUCAGGCUGAAAUCUCGGUAACACGAGAUGGAGGGCCGAACUUCGUGAAGGUUGAAAACUUCUGGGAUGAACUGAGAGUAGGAGCGAAAGACUAAUCAAACCCCCUGAUAGCUGGUUCUCCCCGAAAUAGCUUGAGGGCUAGCCUCAAUGUCUAAGCAUAGGAGGUAGAGCACUGGAUGGACUAGGGUCCCUAACGGGAUACCGAAUCCAAUCAAACUCCGAAUGCCUAUGCGUGCACAUUGGGAGUCAGUCCGUGAGGGAUAAGCUUCACGGUCGAGAGGGAAACAGCCCAGAUCGCCAGCUAAGGUGCCUGAAUAGCGCUAAGUGGAAAGGAUGUUGAAUUUCUAUGACAGUGAGGAUGUUGGCUUAGAGGCAGCCAUCAUUUAAACAGUGCGUAACAGCUGACUCACCGAGAAAUUCAGCGCCGAAAAUGAUGGGCGAUAAGCGUUAUACCGAAGCUGCGGAUACACCGGAGAUACGUCUCCGGUGCAUGGUAGGGGAGCAUUCUGUGCCCGGCAAAGCGGAAGGGUAACCGACCGUGAAGGGCACUGAAGAGAGGAUGCAGACAUGAGUAGCGAUAAGACAGGUGUAAAUCCUGUCCGCCGAAAACCUAAGGUUUCCUGGGGAAGGUUCGUCCGCCCAGGGUUAGUCGGGACCUAAGUCGAGGCCGAUGGGCGUAGACGAUGGACAGCAGGUUCAAUAUUCCUGCACCACCGAAAUUUAAAGAAGAGACCGCAUAGCGGGGGAUGAGCGGGCCACUGAUUGUGCCUGUAGCGCAAGCUCGACUCUGGGAGCAAUCUCGGGGAAAUUCAUCCGAAGCUGUGCCAAGAAAUGCUCUUCUGUAUAAUAAGGUGCCCGUACCGUAAACCGACACAGGUGGGUGGGUCGAAUAGACCAAGGCGCGUAAGUUAAAUCUCUUGAAGGAACUCGGCAAAUUAACCCCGUAACUUCGGAAGAAGGGGUGGUCGUCGCAAGACGACCCGCAGAGAAUUGCGUCAACCGACUGUUUAACAAAAACACAGCACUCUGCUAAGUCGAAAGACGAUGUAUAGGGUGUGACAUGUGACCAAUGCUGGAAGAUUAAGGCAAGGGGUUAGCCGCAAGGCGAAGCUCCGAACCUAAGUCCCAGUGAAUGUCGGCCGUAACUAUAACGGUCCUAAGGUAGCGAAAUUCCUUGUCGGGUAAGUUCCGACCUGCACGAAUCAUGUAACGAGUUGACGACUGUCUCCAAGAGAUGCUUAGCGAAGUUGUAGUGGCGGUGAAGAUGCCGCCUACCCGCAGUAGGACGGAAAGACCCUGUGCACCUUUACUGUAAGCUGUCACUGAUUUUUUACUCGGGAUGCUUAGCGUAAGUGGGAGACUGUGAAGCGAUGAUUCCGGUCAUCGUGGAGUCGCCAAUGAAACACCACACUUCUCGCGUGAGAAAUCUAACCUCGUCCCGUGAAACCGGGCGAGGGACACUGGCAGCGGGUCAGUUUGACUGGGGCGGUUUCCUCCUAAAAGGUAACGGAGGAGCCCUAAGGUUACCUCAGCAUGGUUGGCAAUCAUGCAUCGAGCGUAUGGGUAUAAGGUAGCUUAACUGUGAGACCUACAAGUCGAUCAGAUACGAAAGUAGGGCCAAAUGAUCCGGUGGUUGAAAGUGGAAUCGCCAUCGCUCAACGGACAAAAGGUACGCCAGGGAUAACAGGCUGAUC